UACAGAGGGUGCAAGCGUUAAUCGGAAUUACUGGGCGUAAAGCGUGCGUAGACGGUAGCGUAAGUCGGGUGUGAAAGCCCCGGGCUCAACCUGGGAAUGGCAUUCGAGACUGCUCUGCUAGGGUGCGGAAGAGGGGAGCGGAAUUUCCGGUGUAGCGGUGAAAUGCGUAGAUAUCGGAAGGAACACCAGUGGCGAAGGCGGUUUCCUGGACAGUUACUGACGCUCAGGCACGAAAGCAUGGGGGAGCAAAAGGG
rnacentral:rRNA from 1 species